CGGGGUGUAGCGCAGUUGGCAGCGCGCUGCGUUUGGGACGCAGAGGUCCUGGGUUCGAGUCCCAGCACCCCGA
rnacentral:tRNA from 1 species